GAUCCUGGCUCAGGACGAACGCUGGCGGCGUGCUUAACACAUGCAAGUCGAACGGGAAGAAAAGAAAGAGCUUGCUCUUUCUUGGAUUCUAGUGGCAAACGGGUGAGUAACACGUAAACAACCUGCCUUCAGGAUGGGGACAACAGACGGAAACGACUGCUAAUACCGAAUACCUUCCAAUUUCCGCAUGGAGAUAGGAAGAAAGGGUGGCCUCUACUUGUAAGCUAUCGCCUGAAGAGGGGUUUGCGUCUGAUUAG
rnacentral:rRNA from 1 species